rnacentral:rRNA from 1 species
GGACAACAGUUGGAAACGACUGCUAAUACCGCAUAAAAUAACGGAAUCGCAUGAUUCUGUUAUCAAAGGAGAAAUCCGCUGAAAGAUGGGCUCGCGUCUGAUUAGAUAGUUGGUGAGGUAACGGCCCACCAAGUCGACGAUCAGUAGCCGGACUGAGAGGUUGAACGGCCACAUUGGGACUGAGACACGGCCCAGACUCCUACGGGAGGCAGCAGUGGGGGAUAUUGGACAAUGGGGGAAACCCUGAUCCAGCGAUGCCGCGUGAGGGAAGAAGGUUUUCGGAUUGUAAACCUCUGUGGACAGGGACGAUAAUGACGGUACCUGUCAAGAAAGCCACGGCUAACUACGUGCCAGCAGCCGCGGUAAUACGUAGGUGGCGAGCGUUGUCCGGAAUUACUGGGUGUAAAGGGAGUGUAGGCGGGAAGGCAAGUCAGAAGUGAAAAUUAUGGGCUCAACCCAUAACCUGCUUUUGAAACUGUUUUUCUUGAGUGAAGCAGAGGCAAGCGGAAUUCCUAGUGUAGCGGUGAAAUGCGUAGAUAUUAGGAGGAACACCAGUGGCGAAGGCGGCUUGCUGGGCUUUUACUGACGCUGAGGCUCGAAAGCGUGGGGAGCAAACAGGAUUGGAUACCCUGGUAGUCCACGCCGUAAACGAUGAUUACUAGGUGUGGGGGGAUGAACCCUUCCGUGCCGGAG